rnacentral:rRNA from 1 species
AGUAUACUUAUUCUUAAAUUUUAAAUCUAGAUUAUUAGUAGAUAUAUUCUUGAAAAUCAAAGAAUUUGGCGGUAUCUUAAUCUUAUUAGAGGAACCUGUUUUAUAAACGAUAAACCACGAAAAAUCUUAUUUGUUUUAAAUAGUUUGUAUACCGUCAUUAUUAGAUAAUUUUGGAAAAAUUAAUUAUUGGGAUUAAAUCUCAAAGUUUUAAGUAUAUUAGAUCAAGGUGCAGCUUAUAAACAAGAAAAGAAUGGGUUACAAUAAAUUAAUUUAAAUGGAAGAUAUUCUUAAAUGAAUUUCUGAAGGCGGAUUUAAUUGUAUAUUUAAAUUUAAUAUGAUAAAUAGAAAUUGGCUCUA